AAGCGUGGGUAGCGAACAGGAUUAGAUACCCUGGUAGUCCACGCCGUAAACGAUGCUAACUCGUUUUUGGAGCGCAAGCUUCAGAGACUAAGCGAAAGUGAUAAGUUAGCCACCUGGGGAGUACGUUCGCAAGAAUGAAACUCAAAGGAAUUGACGGGGGCCCGCACAAGCGGUGGAUUAUGUGGUUUAAUUCGAUGAUACGCGAGGAACCUUACCAAGACUUAAAUGGGAAUUGACAGCUUUAGAAAUAGAGCUUUCUUCGGACAAUUUUCAAGGUGCUGCAUGGUUGUCGUCAGCUCGUGCCGUGAGGUGUUAGGUUAAGUCCUGCAACGAGCGCAACCCCUGUCACUAGUUGCCAUCAUUCAGUUGGGGACUCUAGUGAGACUGCCUACGCAAGUAGAGAGGAAGGUGGGGAUGACGUCAAAUCAUCACGGCCCUUACGUCUUGGGCCACACACGUGCUACAAUGGCCAGUACAGAGGGCAGCUACCAGGUGACUGGAUGCGAAUCUCGAAAGCUGGUCUCAGUUCGGAUUGGAGUCUGCAACUCGACUCUAUGAAGCUGGAAUCGCUAGUAAUCGCGCAUCAGCCAUGGCGCGGUGAAUACGUUCCCGGGCCUUGUACACACCGCCCGUCAAGCCAUGGAAGUUUGGUAGACCUGAAGCUGGUGCUCCGCAACGAAGCCAGUUAGGGUAGAACAAGUAACUGGGGCUAAGUCGUAACAAGGUAGCCGUACCGGAAGGUGCGGCUG
rnacentral:rRNA from 1 species